rnacentral:lncRNA from 1 species
AAAAGCUUAAUUAGCCAGUUCUAAUAUUUCUGACUCUUUUCUUCUUAUGUUCUAAGUAUGAAGUACAUAUGAAGUACAUUAUAGAAUGAGUUGCUGUCGGUCAUCCAUCCCCAUUGGCUGGAACAAUCAAUGUUGUCCAUCAUCUCACCAUCAGACCUUAACAUUCUCAACAGUGGUCCCUAUGGAAUUAUAUUGUUCCCUUUGAACAUAUUGCUUCAAUAAGUAGAAAUUAUUUCAGAAACUUUGAGUUGUGUUGGACAUGGCAAGAAACACUUGAGGACCUGACAAAAUGCUUUCUACAAUCUCAGACAGCUUACAGCAUGGUGUGACAAACAAAAAUUUCCCCAGGACAUGCACAACACAGGAGAACAUUAAAGUGGUUACACAGUGAAAGCUAUUCAGGUUGUCAGACCCCUGGAAGCACACACACUUUUUCUCCAUGGAGGAGAUCCUGAAGCUUCUUUUCCUCAUCCUCCUAUCAAGACAAUUCAAUCUGCAUUUUGCAAAUAAAUUUUUCUUUCACCAACACAAUCCUCCAUUAAAUGAAUUUUGGGACUCCAAGCAGCCUCAAAGUGAGAAAGAAGCAGUUGUUCAAAUAAGAUCUCUGACUGCUGAAGUGCUGAUCCCCUUGAUUAUGAAUAAAACUACUAAAAAGGAGAUAAAGUGUCAAUAUUAAACAAACAUAAUUACAAAUUCAAUAAGAAAAAUAUUGCUCUUCUCUACCUGCAUACAGUAUUACAGAAGAUGAGAAAUCUGAAGAUUUUACUGCAAAUUAUUAAUCACUAAAACCUAAAACCAAGAAAUAACUAUAUACUAAGAUAUGCUAUUUUUUCUCUUG